UAUAUAUAUAUAUAUAUAUAGGAGAGGUGAGACAGAAACUAACGUAAAUGAUAAUGGAGUGGCUAUUAUGGGAAUAGUUGUUGAAGUUGUGGACCUGUAGUCUCACAUGGUGCAAUAAAACGUUAAAAUGGUUAAUUAAAAAACCAAAUUUUUUACGCUAGGUCGCGUAAAGGCCAGAAACGCAAGGGUCGGAACGCGAGGAUACAAUUCUUAUGACUCUAAUAUUGAUUGAAAUCGACAAAGUCCUCGACAACAAUGCCAUUUUUAAUGGAAAAACACUGGGUAAAUGCUUCUAGGAUGUUUUUAAAGAUACAUCUUUGAAUUCACCUUAAAAAAUCUUGAAGAUGCAUCUACAGACUAAUUUUUUGGCAAAAAUAUGGUGACUGUUUGAUUUAAAAAAAAUAAAAAGAUUUAAAGUGGAUUCGGAUAUUGCUUUCAACAUAGUAGCCUAUCAUGACUUUAUUUUGAAUUGUGUUGGAAACGGGUGAAACCCUGGUUAUCAAAAAGGUUCUUCAAGACAAAGAGGUAAGCUUACUGCUCACAAAAUUAAUUCAUAUGUUAUAUUUUACAUGCCUAUUAGUAUAGCAAUGUGAUCGCCGACUCACAUUUUGUCA